CUCUGCUGGGCAUCAUUGCGCGUCAAAACAUUGCGUCUCUGCAGGACUUGCCAGGGCCGAGAGAAAAGGAACAUUUUCCUGGGAAGGAAUGCAAAAGGGGGUUUAAGGAUUGGCACUGCCAAGAAGAAAACGACAUUUUCUAAGAUACGCGGAGGUCCGUUUUUUUUUCUUCCCUUCAAAGGUGUUCACCUCCCAACCCACCGCCCACCACGGCCCUCACCUGUGUGUUGCGGUGCUUCCCUUGUGAGCCGACCUGGGCUGGCAGUCCCUUCUUGCACCGCCCGCCGACUCCGCCCAUGGUCAGAAUGACACGCUCCAAGACCUUCCAGGCGUACCUGCCGAGCUGCCACCGAACGUACAGCUGCAUCCACUGCCGAGCUCAUCUUGCCAACCACGACGAGCUCAUCUCCAAGUCCUUCCAGGGCAGCCAAGGCAGAGCCUACCUGUUCAACUCAGUGGUGAACGUCGGGUGUGGCCCUGCAGAGGAGAGAGUUCUGCUCACAGGCCUGCAUGCUGUCGCAGAUAUCUACUGUGAGAACUGCAAGACCACCCUGGGCUGGAAAUACGAACAUGCCUUUGAGAGCAGUCAGAAGUAUAAAGAGGGCAAGUUCAUCAUCGAGCUGGCCCACAUGAUCAAGGACAACGGCUGGGACUGAGGGACAAGCAGCCGGGACACGACCACAGCAGAGGAGAGGGAGGGGGGAGGGGGCUGGAUGGACAAAUGGAUGGGAGAGAUGGGGGUCGUGUGUGGUGGCUUGAAUCAGAUGACCUAAGAUGAUUAUAGCAAAUCCAGCUGAUCGGGGCCAUGCCAGCUGGGCCAGUGAUGAGGCCUGGCUCUGAGGCUUGGCACAGAGGCCUGAGCACAUGGGCGUUGGGUUGUGGCGCAGGGCUGGGGUGAUUGCGGGGAUUGCCGCCCACCAGGCCGCUCUCUCAACAUGGUGGGGAGGGGAAAAUCCUGAUCCAGUUAUGCAGUGGCUUUGAUGGCUUCUGGCUGGGAUUCACUCCAUGUCUUGCCAGUGAUGCAGCUCAUGACGGGCCAAGAGUGAAAGAGAUACAGACAGACAACCACCGGCUUGUCCUAAAACCUCACAGGAAUUUGCCCUUGCAGCAGCAAAGCAGCUCCCCUUGGUUAAUACAACAAGUCCUGUAUAGGGAUCAGCUGAUACUUCCCGUGUAUGUUUGGUGUCAUCAGACGCAUCGCUGCAUCCACCUUUGUUACUUGGCCAGGUAGAAUUACACAACAUAAGCGUGUCUCAGGUGAACAACUUUGGCUGGGAUUCCCAAAGGUUUGAAAGCACUGUGAACAUCUUUCUGCUGUUGGAAGUGGAUCUACUAAGGUGACGAAGCUCUGCAGGCCUUGGGAAGGCUGGGGGCGGCUAAUGAUCAGUGAGAUACAAACACAACCCCUGCUAUCAUGCAAAUAACAGUGUGAUUUGUGGCCAGACUGCAUGACUGGUUUCAUGGGCCAAGGGAAAAUGCAAAUAGUAAAGAAAUUCACACGGAAAGUAAAUGAUUACUUUCACUGAAGUUACGAGGUAUAUACAUACCACAGCGAUGUGUACUGUAGAUGAAUAUGUUUAAAAUGUAUCACUCUUAGGCUCUCUUUCAGUCUGGGAUGACUGCUGUUUAACUGCUGUUACACUGAUCUUCACUAACUGGCCCUCACGAAACAUAACAAAAACUACUGGGCAACAUUAUAAAGAAAUGCACUAGAUAGACCAACUUGCCUAUUCUUUUGUUCCUUAAUGCACCAACACAUUAUCUUUUUAGGUUUAGCCCAAGUUUUUUUGUUUUUUUUCAGUUAGCUAAAAUAUUCCUAAUGCAUCAUUGGCCUUUGAGUUAUGACACCUGGGUAAUAUUUGAGGUAACAUUAAUGGGAAGCAUUGCUCAGGUACUUUCAUUCUACCUUUUCUUUGCUAAGGCCAGAAUCCUACUUAAUGUGCUGGAUGUGUUAUUAUUCUCUGACGGAAAUGUAUUAUUUUCAAAUGAGAGAAUCCAUCCCAUGGAUAUGCAACAUGAAUGCAUGCAUGAAGUAAAACAAGUGUUCUGACCAGUUUUGUGCUCGGUCCUCGUCACAUUUUUGUGAAAAGAACAUUUUGUGUAUACUAGAGUUGCAAUGAAACCUUGUGCUGUAAUACAACAUCUAAUCAGUUUCACCCCAGUUCAUUUAAGCUGCGAGAUCCGUCUUCUUUAGAUUAAAUGUGAUCAUGGUUUAGAAAAGUCUAAUUAGUUGCCCCGUUUGUCACACAGUUUCCCGUUGUUGCGAACAUUGCUCUAGACGUUGCCCUGUAUAUGGUGAGUGCUGUUCAAGACUCUCCAGUUACAACCGAACCUAAACAGAUAACUCUCUUCAGUAACACUCAGCAAGUGACUGCUGAGUUGGAGGCUGCGACAUUAAACCCAGCACAACCAAAGAACCCACUCGUCAACAAUAAAUUGACCAAACAAAAGAUCUAAUUUUGCUUUGUCAAGUGUUGCAAAACAAGAGGAUGUGUACAGCUGAAAGCCAAGGUUGUGGAUAGCCUUUCUCUGUGAUAUAUAUAAUGCAUUAUGAUUUUGUAAACAUAAGAUCUUAAUAUAUGAAUAUAUUAUAUUUACUGUAUUCACCAUGAGGAUUACCAUUCAUGUCAACCUCUGUGUUACAGACUGUAAAUAGUGUUAAUGUAUUGUGUUUUAUCUAUGAUCCAUACAGCGAUUAAUGAAUAUGAUUUAGGUCAUGUCAUGCUUUCUCUCUGGUACCCCACAUUGGCUGUACGAUACUACUUUUUUACUGAAAAUGUUUCAAUUUUAAUGUCUUUUGUAAAGGAGGAUGCUGAUGUUGACUAUAUAUCAUUGGAUCUUCAUCUAAUAAAAUGCACCUUGAUAUGUG